UCAGGUUGUAGUGGGUGUAAUGUACCUACUAGCCUACGACGGGUACGGGUUGUGGAAGCAAGAGCCCGGAGAUGGAUUCUGAGACAUGAAUCCAUGCCCUACGGGGCGCAGCAGGCGCGAAAACUUUACAAUGCGGGAAACCGUGAUAAGGGAACACUGAGUGCUAGCAUUUAUGUUAGCUGUCCACAUGUGUAAAUAGCAUGUGAUAGCAAGGGCUGGGCAAGACCGGUGCCAGC
rnacentral:rRNA from 1 species